GCAGCUGCCGGACACCAGGAGACGAUGGAAGGUCUAUAGUGUUACAGCUCUGACCCAGGAAGUCCCAGGGUCUUGCCUUCCAGAAGGGUCGCGGCUCUUCCCUCCCUCAGUCCAACGAACAGGAGCACGUCACCUCCCGCAGCUCGGGGAGCUGGCCAGGAACGUGUUACAGCCCGUUUCGCUCCUGUCCGCAGCUGGGUGAGGCAGCCAGGAAAAUAUUACAGCUCUUCUCACGCCCGCCAUUCAGCAGGUCCUGACUUCUUGUGUGACAUCCAGAAGAAAGGGGUUACACAGACAGCUGGAGGGUGAGCAAAGUGGAGAAGUUCUCAGCAGAGAGGAGACUGGAGUGAGUUGCCCCUACCCGCAGGUGCCAACUGUAAUACAUCAGUAGCUGAACAGCUCAUUGCCCUCAAGUGUUCUUGCUCAUGCCUGGCUGAGUUAUUGAAGAAAUUGCUCAGAUCUCAAGCCCUUGUAGAUCACUGGUCCUGGCAGAUGUUAUGGGGAACUCGCUAUGUUGCCCAGGCUGGUCUUGAACUCAUGGUCUCAGGCAGUCCUCCUGCCUCAGCUUCCCAAAGUGCUGGAAUUACAGAUACGUGAACAGAAAAGCCUGAACUAGGGAACUGACCAUGAAACUAAAAAGGAGAAAGCAUAUGCAAGUGGACACAAUAUUAUACACCCGUGAUAUUGAUGGCAGUGGCUGCUGCUGUCGUGGCUGCUGCUAUCACGCCUGCUGCAACACAGAGGUGCGACUGGGGCUGCACAUUUCACGGAGGUGUUGGGAGUUCCGCCCCUUCUGAUGUGGGGAAAGAGAUCCCCAGGUGCCCCUGCAUCUGCCCAAACUGUGGCUGUGGAUCGGAGGCUCCAGGUUGGCAGGUUGGGAGCUUCCGGGUGCAGCUGCGACCGCCCUCCCAGGUGCAGGACCCUGGUGUUUCUGCAGCCUGCACCCUUGGGGGCCCCAGGAAAGACCCAUAUCCUUGCAGGCUUGGAGGUGUUUGCUUCUUCUGCCUGGCCUCUCUCGGCUCCCGGUGCAUGCUCUCAUAUCUGAGUGGGGGUUGGUGCUGAGCCCCGGGGCCGUGAAUUGCAGCAGGAGGCAGAUUUAUUCCUGGGCAGAAGGUGGCAGAUCCCAAGUAAGGGGACCUUCAAGCCAGGGAGGGCCUGAAGGCUGGUGGCUGGGCUACCAGUCCCACCGACCAGAGUGGGGAUUCGUGGGCCUCUUCUGGGCCACCCAUAGCCACCCAUGGACCAAUCAGCAAGCACAUCCUCCCCUCUGAGGUCCGUAAAAGCCCUGGGCGCAGCCUGAGCAGGGCAGAGGAAGGCCAGAGGUGAAGGAGUCAGAGAGGCGACAGGAUAGGCAGCUGCCGAGAGAAGUACGCCUCUCUGCUGAGACCUGGAGAUGACGGGAAGGCCAGAUGCAGAGAGGAGCUACCCUCUCUGCUUAGAGCUGCCAGGAGGAGCUACCAACCUUCUCUGCUGAGAGCUGCAGAGAUGACCUGCUGGCAGAGAGGAGCUACCCACUGCGGGUCUCCUCUGAUCUGUUGUAAUGCUGAAUAAAGCUUCUUUUCAUCUUGUUCACCUUCCACUUGUCUGCAUACCUCAUUCUACCCGGACGCAAGCAAGAACUCGAGCAAAGGCACAACCAGCCACAGAGGUUUCUGGCCAGAAAAUCGACACCCCAAAAGUCCUAUAACAAUCUGAUUCUAAAAGCAACAUCAUCUUUUCAAUGUAAUUCUAAAAGAAUUUGGGAUUAUUUUAUUUAAUUUCAGGAUCCCCUCUGAAGAAAAUCAACUUACAAAGGAUGGCAGGUCUUAAGAAAGGUACUUAGCAAGUGCUGGUACAUUCUAAGCAAUCAAUAUUUGUCAAUGUUCAGUAAUUGUACAAUUGUACUAGAGAAAACAAUUCCAGGGGCUUAAAAUUAUCUUAUACAAGGAUCCACUUUAUUAUUAUUUUUUCUGUUUGUUUUGGAUAAAUUACUGACUCCUUAUCUCAGUUAUGUUAUGUGUUAAAUGUUUACAGUGUUAUUUUGUAUCUCUCAAGGGCUUUUGUUAGAAUUUUCAAUGAGAUACCUUAAAACCUCUAAAAAGAAAAUGGAUGUUAUAAGUAAAUAAAAAUAAGUCUGAAUGGC
rnacentral:lncRNA from 1 species